GUCUAGAUGCGAGGUUAGCCCCCGAUACGUUGCCAGGUUUUUACCAAACAACGUGUGGGGGUUUUCU
rnacentral:antisense_RNA from 1 species